rnacentral:lncRNA from 1 species
CCUCUCUCCACGUCCACGGCGCCGAGUCUCGCCACGGUGGCGCAGGCGCCAGGGAGGUUCCCCGGCUUUGCCGCGCGGAGGAAGUCCCGGUUACGCAGAGCGCGCUGGGGCAGGGCUGACCUUCCCCUUUCUCUACUUCACUGGCCUCCUCCAGACGUGGUGGUUGCGCCCUUUCGGCCUCGCUUUCCGUUUUUUGGCUUCAUCCCCUAGAUCUGCAAACAGUUCCUCGUGUUUCUUCCGUUAGCCGGGAAACGCGAACUGCAGCGUUUGGGACCCGGGUUUGCGCGUGUGGAAAGCAAAAGGGGUUACUCUGCUGGAGUUCGACAUUGCAAAUAAAGAUAAUGUCUGUGCCUAUCAGAUAAAGGCAAACCAGUGCUCAGAGGAACCCAACCAUCUCUGAAUUGAGACCAGAGAGCUGUCUCUAUGGAUAGUCCUUAGAGAAGGCAUUUCGGAACACAGUAAACAGCAGCCUGGUGACUCCGAUUACAGGGCCAGUUGCCUUUGUUACAAUAAAAGCAAGUCAUCUACACAGAUUUUUCCUACCAGGAAGAGCAUGUGCUGACCAACAGACAUGAAUUUCAGCCUGGUAGUUACAACAUUCACAGUAUACCCACAUCACUAAGCUGGGAGGCACAUUUUGAGACCCAGAAUCCUGACACCUCCAUGCCUUCAAAAGGAUGAGCAGAUUCAUGUAUGACCAGAAUGUAAACCAGGAUCACAGAGCAGCCGGAGAGGUGGUGACAGAACCAUCGAUGGAACCCUGGGCUCCAGGUUCUGACUCCUAUUUUCACUCACUAAUUUUUUUUUUUUGAGAUGGAGUCUUGCUCUGUCGCCAGGCUGGAGUAGAGUGGCAC